ACCAUCGUCCUUUUCGUUUGGUGUGGCCAACACUACAAACGCUCCUGUGCUCGACAGUGAUGGCAACGAGCUCCGCACUGGCACCCCAUACUUCGUUGUGUCGUCGAUAUGGGGUGCUGGUGGUGGGGGGCUUGACCCAGGCAGGCCUAGAGGAAAGCCAUGCCCGGAAGUCGUUGCUCAAAGAGGAUCUGGUGACAAUGGUAUUCCGGUGAUAUUUUCUAAUUCGGACUCCAAAGAUGGCGUUGUUCGCCUAUCCUCUGACAUAAACAUAGCGUUCGUUCCCCUCAGACCCAAAUUUUGCGAAACAACAACGGUGUGGAAGGUCGCUGAUUACGACCACUCAGCCGGAAAAUGGUGGGUGAUAACCGAUGGGGUUAAAGGGAACCCAGGUGCCAACACUUUGACCAGUUGGUUUAGAAUAGAGAAGACGACUACUGAUUUUGAUUACACAUUUAAGUACUGCCCCGCAGUAUGUGGAACAUGCCCAGCCUUAUGCAACAAAAUUGUGAGAGACUUUGAUGGAGAAAUGGUACGUUUGGCUCUCACCACUGGCCAUGGAUGGCCAUUUAUCUUUAAGAAAGUUGGAAAAUCAGCCAUGGAGAUUGAACAAGUUGUUCAUAAUUAGAUUGAAAGCAAUCAUUAUGCAUGAACUAGUAGUUACUACAUAAUAUUAGCUUCAAGUAAAUAAUGCUGAGGGAACUUAUUGUUAAGAUUGCCUUGUUUGAAGCGGCAGCAUGUAUAUAUAUAUGCUUGCUUACAAGGUUUGUCUCUCAGAGUCCUCCUCUUUGUACUCUUUUCAGCUUAAUGAAUAAACUGUUUACUUAUUUACUUCUUUUGUUGCCAUUGAUUCUAGUAGCAUUCGACUCAUUAACUUGGAUACAUUACCUUGUAAUUAACCAAAAAGUUAUGUGUAUAUAUAUAAAGAGUGUGUGAGAGAAAAAAUAAAAUACCAAGUACCAAGUGAAAAAUGUUAAUACUAGGAUUAUUCAAAGCGAUUUCAAUGAACAGAAAUGGAAUAGUCGUCGGGUGGUUAGGACAUUUUAUCUUUAGAGAUAAAGAAGGUUGGUUCAUGUUCGGAGUUUGUGGCCACUCCUUCAAUAAUAUCGUUUUUAAAGUUUAAACUUGUAUCACAUUUUAAACACGUAAUGUAUCUUACCAUUACAUCCAACAAUAUUAACCAUUUACUCUAUUGUAUUGUAUUGUAUUCUAUUAUUAAUUAAUGAUUAUGAUAUGUAUUAAGUUUAAGAUGAAUUUUCUCAGUAAUGUAUAUCAAUGAAAUCAAAUAUUUGUAUUUAAAGUUUUAACUCCACAUUAACUUUUUUUUUAUUUUGUCCGUUUGCUGGCGAUGAUUAGGAGAUUAAUGGUUGGUAUUUGUGGUUAGUAGCUUAUAACUCGAGGGUUGAUAGUGGCCCGACUCCACUUAAAUAAAAAAUUUUACAUUUAAAUUUCUUUAUAAUUUAUAAAAUUUUAAAUUAAUAAUAAAAAAUUAUAUUUUAACUCUCUAAAAUUAAUAAAAAUGAUAAAAAUGUAGAAGUAAAUUUAUACAAUUAAUGAUAAUAAUGAUAAGAAGUUGUUUCCUAUCACAUGGAAAUUUAUGGCAUCGUCCAUUUGGUUUUAUAUUUGUCCAUUUGCUUGGUUAAGAGUUGAAAGACAAACUAUAAUUAAAUAUACAAAACCAAACGAAUUUCAAGGGUUUUCUCUUCAAUUAUUGUCGAAUUUAGCUAAUUAUUAGUAAUUUUUAUUAUUUAAUUAUAAAAAUUAUAAAAUAGUGACUUAAUUAUAAAUAUAUAUAUAUAUAUAAAAUAGCCAUCUAAUUAUUUAAUUUUUUUCUUUUUUAUCAUCACAGGAUUAAUGGUGGUAAUUUUUAUAAUUGACAUAAUAGUAACUUUAACCAUUAAUAAUUAUACAUUAUGUCAAUUUAGUCUUGAUUCUAAAAAAUUUAACCUUUGACAUUUACACAUAUAUAAUUUGAUAUUUUUAUAAUUUUAUUUUUUACUAAAAAUAAAUCAUGAAAAUAAUAAAAUAUGCAUAAAAAUAAAAAUACAGCUACCGAGUAUAUGUCUUAUUGUAGAUUUAUAACAAUUAUCUUUUCAUAAAGAUAUUUUAUUAUAAAAUAUAUAAUAAGCACUUCCCUGUAACAAAUAAAAUUGUAGUAAACAAAUGAAAUUAUUAUAAAGAAGAAUUUUCUAUUUUCAUAAUAAUAAUAAUAAUAAUAAAAGAAAAGAAAAAAGUGGUUCUAUUAAUUCACCUCACAUUUGAAAUAUGUUAUAUGUAAUAAUAUUAAUGUCUUUAUCAAUUUUGGUGGUUCAUCCUUUCCCAUCUCUAUAAAUUUGCAUGCAGAACUAAAGCAACACAUAUCAACACAAUCUGUAUAACCAUGAAAACCACAACAGCUUCGGUGUUUCUUCUUUUCAUCAUCUUCUCAAUCACACCAUUGUCCUUUUCGUUUGGUGUGGCCAACACUACAAACGCUCCUGUGCUCGACAGUGAUGGCAACGAGCUCCGCACAGGCACCCCAUACUUCGUUGUGUCGUCGAUAUGGGGUGCUGGUGGUGGGGGGCUUGCCCUAGGCAUGCCUAGAGGAAAGCCAUGCCCGGAAGUCGUUGCUCAAAGAGGAUCCGGUGACGAUGGUAUUCCGGUGAUAUUUUCUAAUUCGGACUCCAACGAUGGCGUUGUUCGCCUAUCCUCUGACAUAAACAUAGAGUUCAUUCCCCUCAGACCCAGAUUUUGCCAAACAACAACGGUGUGGAAGGUCGAUGAUUACGACCACUCAGCCGGAAAAUGGUGGGUGAUAACCGAUGGGGUUAAAGGGAACCCAGGUGCCAACACUUUGACCAGUUGGUUUAGAAUAGAGAAGGCGGGUGAUCUUGAUUACCCAUUUAAGUACUGCCCCGCUGUAUGUGGAACAUGCCCAGCCUUAUGCAACAAAAUUACGAGAGACUCAGAUGGAGAAAUGAUACGUUUGGCUCUCUCCGCUGGCCAUGGAUGGCCAUUUUUCUUUAAGAAAUUUCAAACAUCAGCCAUGGAGAUUGAACAAGUUGUUCAUAAUUAGAUUGAAAGCAAUCAUUAUGCAUGAACUAGUAGUUACUAUACAAUAUUAGCUUCAAGUAAAUAAUGCUGGGAGAACUGAUUGUUAAGAUUGCCUUGUUUGAAGCAGCAGCAUGUAUAUAUAUAUGCUUGCUUACAAGGUUUGUCUCUCAGAGUCCUUCUCUUUGUACUCUUUUCAGCUUAAUAUAUAAACUGUCUACUUAUUUACUUCUUUUAUUGCCAUUGAUUCUAGUAGUAUUAGACUCAUUAACUUGGAUACAUUGUCUUGUAAGAGAUAGCUUAUCUCUUAACAACUGUUUGGGUCAACAAAAUUAAUGUAUAUAUGAAAACGAAUAUUGAAUUUGGAUGUCCAAUCAAUUUUUUUAAUUAAUUAAUUAAAAAGAAUUGUUUUAAUUCAAAAAAUCUAAAAGAAUUUGAUAAAAAAUGUGGAAGGGCACACUUGUAUGAUGAAUAGUAGUGAUAAUAAUGAUAGAAGUCGUUUUCCUAGCACAAGUAUGGGAUUCGUCCAUUUGGUUUUAUAUUUAUCCACUUGCCUGAGUGUUUAAGAGUUAAAAAGGACAAAACUAUUAAGUAGAAAACACCAAACGAAUUGGAAGGCUUUUGUCUUCUUCAAUUAGUAUGACCUAUAUUUCUUAUUAAACUUCGUAUUUUACAUUCAAUAUCAUCAUCGCAAUCAUUUUAAUUUAUUUUCAUGAAUAAACUUUUAUGUCCCAUUUUAAUUGAAUCAUUAAAAAUUAUUAAUUGAAUUUUUUUUAAGUCAAGUGAUACUAAUUUGAUUUUUUUAAAAAAGUUGUUUGAAUUAAUUUGAUUUCGUGUCAUAAUUGACAUAAAUGGCCAUUGUGAAUGGCAACAUCAAUAGUUAUUGAGUACAGCGGCUAAAAUUUUCAGUUAAAAAAAAAAGAAUGAAAGGAAAACAAAAAGAAAAACGUGGAAAGAAAGAAAGAAAGAAAGAAUAAUAAUAAUAAUAAUAAUAAUAAAUAAAAUAGAAUUGUGGGGGCGAUGCUUUUGAACAAAUCUUGAUUUAAACUAUAUAAAGAAAAUAUGUGUUAUAUAUAUAAUUAAUUAUGUACUUAUACUUAAUAUAUUAUAUAUCUAAUGUCAUAUUUUCAUAUUCUCAGGAAGUGGUGACAUACAAAUACUUGAUUCGAUUUAUUUCUUUAGCUCCCCGUGAAUUGUAUGUUUGUAACAUUAGGGAUAGAAUUUCUUCAAUUAUCCAAUUGACUGGACGUAUUGUGUCGAUUUUUUUUUAGUAAUAUACCUAGAAAUACCCGUUGAUUCUUUAUAAACGCUGUUUCGAACACAACUGGUACACUCUAAAAUAAUUUACUUGAACAUCAUUACUCUUAGCCAUGAACCUCCUUUGAGUUUUUAAUUCACCCAACUUUUUUAUUUUCCGAUCAAAAGCAAAGAAGAAAGGAAUGAAAAGAAAAGAAAGAAAUCAAAGUUGCUAACUCAAAACCAAAUCCUGAAAAUUUUCAUUUCAAUGAAUAUAGUAAGUAAAUAUAGAUUUAUAGUAAUAGCAAAUAAUAAGAAUUAAGUAAUAUAACGAUUUUUAAUUCUAUUUAGAAUCAAUUAAAAUAUUCAAAUAAAUAUUCAAUUAAAAUAAAUUAAACUGUAUAAAUUUUAUAAUUUUAAAUUAUUAUUUUUGUAUUAAUUUAAAAACAAAAUAAAUAUUAUAUACAAUGAUUUAGUUACAGCGUGUCAGCUUGAAGUCUAAGACUUUAUAACAUAUAAAUUUAAUAGAUAAUUAAUAACUAAAAAAUUAAAUAGCAAAAGCAUAAUUGCGCCACUUCUCACCAUUUUAAUGUAUGCAACUUAUUAUAUAUUUAUAUAUAUUAUCAUUUUAUUUUAAAUAAUUUAAUUUUAUAAAUUUAGGGAUAAAUCUCAAAAUUAUACAUGAACUUUAAUUUAAUAUGCAAUUGUAUAUAUAAACUUUAAUUUGGUACAAUUAUACACGUGAUACUUUAAUUGUGGUUUAAAUACUCACUUGAAACUUUAGUUUUGAUUUAAUAAUGCAUAUUUAAAUAAAUAAAUACAUCAAUUUUUUUAUAUUGGGUAAAUAUAAUUAUUUAUGUAUGCAAUAUAUAACAUAAAAUGAUGUUAUAUCAAUAAUUGUGUUAAUAAUUUUCAAGAAUUGGAUCAAAUCAAAAUUUCAUGUAUAAAAUUGAACAAAAUCAAAGUUAAUGUAUACAAUUGCACAUUAAACCAUAAUUCAUGUAUAUUUUUUUGUAUAUAUCCCAUAAAUUUAUUUCAUUAACUUUUUACCUAUAUCAUAUAUAGAGUUGUUCGUGAACCGAGCCAAGGAAUGCCUGCUCGAAAAAAUGAGAGGGUUUGGCAAAAAAAUAUAUGCCUAAAAAAUGGGCUUGGAUAAAAAGACAAGGCCCGUUUAGAAAAUGAACCGGCAUUGAGUAGGGUUUUUUUGUCCGGGCUCAGCCUAACCCGAAUUUUCAAUUAAAAAAAACCUUGUUGUUUUUGCUGCUAUUUUUCCAUAUCUUGGUGUUGUUUUCUCACUUUUUGCCGCUAUUUUACUACCAUUUCACUAUUAUGUUACUACUAUUUUUUUUAAUGUUUGGAUAUAGUAUAAUAAUUGUUUUAUUGUUAAUUUUAUCACUAUUUUAGAGACAUUUGUUUGUUAUGUUGUACUUAUUUUAGUUUUUAUUUAAGUAUAAAAAAAUUUAAAAUUUAUUUUCAAUUUAUUGAUAAACAUGUAAUUUAAUAUUUUCAGUGUAUUUAUUGUAUUAUAUUUGUUAAAUUUAUAUAAAAUUAAAAUUAAAAAAAUAUGGACCGAGAUGGGAGUUUAACAAAAAUUUAGGCCCAUUUUUCAAGUCGGGCCGAUCUCAAACCUAACAAUCGGACUUAAAAUUUUGUUAGAGCUCGGCCCAUCCCAUGAACAACUCUAAUUAUAUAUAUAUGUCAUUCUCUAAUAAUAAUAAUAAUAAUAAUAAUAAUAAGUGGAUAACAUAAAACUAGUAGUAAAGAGUAAGAAGACAAAGAAGAAUUAAGUGGAUAACAUAAAACGUGCGAAAACAUUUAUCUUCAAUUCUGACACAUAAAGCUAGUAUUUUUGGGUAAAGUAUAGAAAUGGUGAUUAAAUUAUUGUUGAUGUUCUAUUUUAAUUUUUAAUUUUUCUAUUUUAGUUAUUAAAUUAUUUGAAAUUAAAUUUUUUGGUUAUCAAAGGUUAACAGUAGUUUGAAAUUUAACAGAAAUAUUGAUGUGAACUUUUCUUAUUGAUUUAAUAAUAAAUUUAGCCUUCUAAUAUUUAUAUAUUCUAUUAAUUUGAUACUAAAUAUAAAAAUUUAACAAAUUUAACCUUCAAUAUUUACAAAUUUUGUUAUUUUAAUUCAAAUUCUAAAAAAAAUUUAAUAAAUUUAACCCUCAACAUUAAAAAAUUUGAUAAAUUUCAAUUUUUAAAAUUUUGUAAAUUCCUAAAAUAUAAAGCAUCAUUCUCCACCUCAUAGGAUUCCAUGUAAAUGGAUUUUCUUGAAUUCUUUACCAAGUUGUCUUGAGUUUAAUUUCUUCUUAUUUAGUUUGUGGAAUAAAUGGCAUAUAGUUAGAUGUCACUGCAGCUGACAAUGAAAGGUUUGACAAAGUUGAUAAAUUCAGAGCUUUUGAUGCUGAGCUUCAAAUCAGUCUUGCCUCCACUCACCCAAGAAAUCAACUUUACAAUUUUUAUUAAGUCUUAACUAGAUUAAUAUGAGUAUUGUUAUCAAUAUAGGAGAAAGUGAAUUUUAGUGCGUUGAAACACAUUAUCUUCUUAUUGAUGAAUUGAGGAGGGGCUAUGAAUAGUUUUAAAUAUUAUAUUAAAAAAGCAGAGAUAAUUGAAACCUACAAUAAUAUUGUUCAAAAAAAUUACCUAAAAACACGAAAUCUUACUCCCUGAAUUUUCUAGAAACACAAAUAUUUCUCCCUGCCUUUGAUGGUGUAUACAUGCAUGGCCAUGUGUGAGCUCCUGCAUUUUAACUAAUCAACACAGAUAAUACCCUCAAUGAGACAUUAAAAUUAACUUUUAUUUUUGUUUUUUCAUAAAUUUUAUAAUUUUGUAUUUCAAUGAAAAAAUCUAAAUCUAAGUUGAUCCGAGUCCAAAAAAAAAUCUGAAGCUGUAAAAAGUUUGAUCUGAGGCUGCUCAUUUGCCACCUCUAAUAACCAUUUGAUAGAGGUUUAAUAUAAAGGAAUUUAGAUUUUAGGAAUUUAUAAAAUUUUUAAAAUUAAUUUUUUAUUUGUAAAUACUAAGGGAUAAAUCUAUUGAAGUUUUUAAAAUUUGAACUGAAAUGUCAAAAUUUGUAAACAUUGAAGGCUAAAUUUGUUUAUUUUUUCUAUUUAAGACCAAUCUGAUAGAAUGUGUACACAUUAGAAGACUAAAUUUAUUAUUAGACCAAUAAAAAAAUGCCCAACUUAACGCUUUCUCAAAUUUCAAACCGAUGUUAAUAUUCAAUGACCAAAAUUUUUUAUUUCAAAUAGUUUAGUGACCAGAAUAGAAAAAAAAUUAAAAGUUUGAUGACCAAAAUAGAACGCGGAUAAUAAUUUAAUGAUAUUUUUAUACUUUAUCUGUUUUUUAUGAUUAUUUAUACAUAUCAAGUGGAGCUAAUUUAGGGAAAAGAAUCAAUGGUUAAGGUUGUUGUUGAUACUUAAUGAUCAGGGUCCAAAUUUUGCUAAUGUAAUUUUCCUUAUCAUAAUUUGUAUCUUAAUUUUGUUACCAAAAAAAUAUUAGUAAUAAAUAAUAUAUGCUCGAGAAAUGUACGUAUGAUUGAUUUAAACAAUACAUGUUGGAGUAAUUUACAUAUGGAUUUAAAAUAAAUUUUAAAAAUAAAAUAAAAUUUUAAAAAUCCAAAAGUAUUUUUUCUUUUAAAAAAAUUUAAAAAUAAUUUUUAAAUUAUUUACAUGAUUGAUUUAAAGGAUUUCUUUCUAUUAAUUAUUUUUAUAUUAAAUUUAUUUUCCUUUAUGUAUAACAUUUAAAGGGUUUGUAUAUAUGCUAACUCGCGAGUCAAUUAAAAUUUGUAUUAUAUUCAUUGAAUUUUUUUAAAAUAUAUAUUUUAUUAAUUUAUUUAUUUAUUUGAGACCCAUGAUAAACUUGUAUUUAAAGUUAUUGGUGCACACUAUAAAUUCAUAUAUUGAAAAUGAUAGGUGCUAAAAGUAACAUGUUUUAGUCUCAUUCUUAAUGUGUUUUUGGAUGAUUAUUCGAUAUAAAAUGGUUAAUUUUAUGCUACUAAACUUUUCAAUUUACGUUCUACACUUAAUAGAGCAUUUAGGAGCAAAAGAAGCGAAAAACGAGCGAAAAUAAAAAAAAUAGGAGCAAGUCUCAAAAGCCACACAGGCUGAGCCAUUCCACACGGGUUGGACACAUAACCGAGUGAGCCACACGACCAUGUGCUAGACUGUGUGGAAAUCGCAAAUUACACUCCAAACGGCGUGAAAACACGUUAAUUUUAAGGUUUUUUAAGCAUUUUAAUACCUAUACAUGACAAAGAUAAGAAGAGGGGAGAGAGUCGUCAGAAAAUAUUAAAGAAAACAACUUAAAAAACACCAUUGAAGCUAACUUUGAAGCAAAUUUUCAUCAAGAUUGAAGAUCUCAUUUUGAUUUUUUUGAAGUUUAUUAUGAGUUUCUUUAUUUAUUGUAGUUAUACUGUCUUUAGGAUGUUUUUAUUUGCUAUCAUGAACGAAUUUUCUAAAUACCUAGGGAGAUGAAUCCUAUCAUGAAUUAUGUUAUUUGAUUUCUAUUUUUACGUAAUAAAGACUUAGAUCUUAUUCUCAAUUAUGUGUGCUUAAUUCUUGGUUUAAUAUUUCUAGACUAUUAAUCAAUGUUUGAUGUGCUUAAAUCAGAGGAGGAAUAAACCCUAUUUAAGAGUAGAUCUAGCGUAAAUGAGUGGAGUUGCAUGCAAUCCUAGAAAUAGGACAACAUAAAUCUACCGUAAUAGAUCCAAAUCUAAUAGGGGAAUCUAUAGAUCGAGUUAAUACGAUGAUAGAGGUUUUAAUUAGAAAUAAAUUUCAGUUAAUUAACCUAGAGUCAGUUACUCUUAGUCUUGAAGAGAUAUAUUAGCAUAAUUUAGGGAUUUUUACAGAUCAAUAUUCUAAGUGACGAAGUUGUGUAAUAUAGAUUGAUAAUGACAUAUGAAGUCUAGGUAGAUUCUUUCCUAGGUAUUGUCUCGCUCUUGGUUAUUAUUUGAUUAUUUUCUUGAUUUGUGCUUUGUUGUGUUAUUUAGUUAACUAAUUUAGUUAAUUUUAGUUCCAACCAAUCACUCCAAUUUAUCAGUUAAAUAAUAGAAAAGACGGUAAUUACUGGUACUUUUAGUCUUUGUGAAAACGAUAUCUUUGCUCACUAUAACUAUACUAUUAAUUGAUGUGCACUUGUCUGAGUUAGAUUUUUAGUUGGUUUACGACUGCAAUCAAAAAACUCAUUAAGUUAGCACAAACUAAGUUAAUUAUUCGUUGGUUGCUUUAUUUUUUUUCCUGAAGUUUCGAUUUCAUCUUUCAUUAUGUACAACAAUUUUGGUAUAAAAAUAUCAAAUUCUCGACACUUAAUAUAUACCUUUGAAAUAUAAACACAUGCAUCAAUUUUUUUAGGUUCCUCACAACUUACUUGUCCAAAAUUCUUGUAUCUUUCAGUUCUCCUGAUUGAAUCAAAAUUUGACUUUGUAAUUAUUUUUUAAGGACCUCAAACUAUCAAUUUAUAGUAUAAAUUUUCAAUAGCUUUCAUUCUUUACAAAUUGGUCCCUAAUUAAUCAACAAUGGUAUUAAAGCUUAAGCUUAGGGUCCCGUUGUUUCACUGAAAAUGGCUUUCGAAAAAUAAUUUCUAGAAAAUGACUUACUUUCCUAGAAAAGUUAAUAUUUUCUGAUGUUUGGAUGAAUCAGUGUAAAAUAUUUUAUAUUGUUUGACAAAUUUCUUAAAAAUAUUUCAUAAAAGCUGUUUUCAAUGAAACAAACAUGCAUUUGAGAUUUUCUUAUCUUUUCAUUGUUUAAUUAAGUUUAUCUUAUAUCUAUAAAUUUAUAUUUUACAUUUUUUUGCAUAUAAUAAAAAUAUAUAUUUUUUAAUUCAGGUUCACUACCAUGUCACUUUUUAGUUACAUGACUACCAAGUGAGUAUUUUUUUUAUUUAAAAAUGUGACAUCAACAAAAUUGACAAAAAAAAAAUUUAGCAAUGUCAACAAUUGGACUUGAUUUUCAAAUCUGAAAAGUAGAGGGACUAAAUUCUUGAAAAUAAAAGUAUAGAGACUAAAUUGAAAAUUUGUGAAGAAUACAUAGACUUAUCACAUUUUUUAACUUUUAUACUACAAAAUAUUUAUCAUUAAUAUAUUUAUAAUUAUAAUAAAUAUUUAUUAUUAAAAUAUUAAUAUUAAAUAUUUUCAAUAAGAAGAAUAUUAUUUAAAAUUAUUUUUUUUAAUUUUUUAUUAAAAUAAAAUUGAAAUAUUAAAUAAUUUAUUAAAAUAAUUAAUUUUAUUAAUAAUUAAUUUUAUGACUAAAUAUAAAUAAUUAAAUAUGUGUGUUUAAUAAUAUUGAAAUAUAUAAUAUUUUAUAUUAAUAUUUUAAAUAUUUUUAAAAAUAAAAAUAAAAUUUAUUUUCAAUAUAAUAAUAUUAAUAUUGAUUUAAAUGAAUUUUUAUAUAAAAAUAAAAUUACCUAUAGAUGAGCUCUUUUCCAGAAAAUGACUUACACUUUUCAAAAGGAUAAGUCAUUUUAUAGGAAAAAGAGUUCAAUUUUACAUUGACCUGUAAGUCAUUUUCCGAUGACCAAAAUGUUUUCUGUAAAAUAAACAUAAGAAAAUGAAGAAAAUAUUUUCCGUAAAACCUUUUACAUGUAAACAAACGGACCCUUAAUUCAAGCUUGUUCUAACAUAACCCACUUCACUAUUAGCAUGACUCUUCCUUAUACUAUGUUUAACCAUUAACCCUUCUCAUGAUUUCUAACAAAAAUUCUCUAAGUUCUCUUUAAUGGAAACUUCUAUUAGCUUCAACAAUAAGAAAUUCUAACCAUUGGGUUGGUUGUAUCAAGUUUCAUAGUUUAAAAAACUAUAAAAAAAUUAUUUAGAAAACAAUUUGUUUACCUUUGAUGGCCUUGAUGGAGAACAACUUGGUUUCUUCUUCUACUUAGUUUAAAGAAUGCAUGAAGAAGAAGAAGAUUUCCCCUCUCCCUCUAUCUUAAAUAUAUAUAUAAAUAACCUAUUAAUCAAGGUAAUUAACUCACUAAUUAAUCUUAAUUAGUUAUGAUCUAAUGGCCAUAAACUUACCAUAAGAAAAUUAGUGGAAAUGUGUGGCAUUGAUAAUGGUUUGCCAAUAAUCAAACUUCGGGCAUGGUAAUAUUGCAAUCAGGUCCUUGGUUUAAUUACACUUUAAGUACUUGCUAAAUUCUCUAAUCAAUUCCCACUAGUUGGAUCACUUGAACAAUUGGGUCCAUGUAUUAUAGUUACAACUUAUCUAAUUUAAUCAAUUAAUGAUUUGACUUUAUAAUUUCAUGUGCAACACACAAACUCCUCCGGUAAAUUCUCAAGCUAGCUUUAUUUAAAAAUUUGGCCUCAAAACCAGCUUUCCAAAUGUUCAUGAAAAUUGAGUUGUUACAUUAUGGUAUUUGUUUUGUUCAGCUUAUUUGUCAAGCUCUAUUCCUUUGAACUUAUGUUCGUUGACUUUGGUGUUGCUUAAAUGAAAAUGUGGUGAACAAUAUUAUGGAUAGGAGGAGUGUAUGAUUGAGUAUGUGUAACACCCCUAACCCACAUCCUUCGCCAAAUUAAAGUGACAGAGUGUUAUUAUUCAAAACAGAACAUUCCAUGACAACACAUAAACAAUUAUGCAAAUUAUCACAAUCAUUAAUUAACCAUAUUAAAAUAUAACAUAAGUAUCCAUACGACCUUUAAAUCGAGCUUAUAUGGCCUUAAAAAUAGCUUGGGAUCAAUCUAGGAUCAAUUUGGAACAUAACAUAAAUUUUAAGAAAAAUCUAAAAAUUUUGGGAAACAUGGGUCACACAACCGUAUGUCCAGGCCGUGUGACAUAGCCCAGACCUUGUGGGAAUUCAAAAUCAGGACACUCAAUCAUGUCCUAGCCCGUAUGUCUACCUGUGUGAAUAUUUGAAAUAGGGUCCCACAGUCGUGUCGCGGCCAUGUGCUAAACCGUGUAUAUAUUCAAAUUAUGAACACAUGGCCGUGUCGCAAGCCAUGUGCUAGACCGUGCUCAAAACUAUUUUGAGACACACAGCUGUGCCUUAGGCUGUGUGAAAUUUUCACUUUAGACAACGACACACAGCCGUGUGCCAGACCAUGUACACCAAAAUGUACCUUAAAAAUCAAAUUUACCAAAACAUGUUUACUUAGGCAUCAAGCAACCUAAUUACCAUCAAUCAAACUCAUUCAAAACACAAUUAAACAGGUUCAAAACAUCCAUCCUAAGUGCCUAGCCAUUGUGCCCUCAUUGACAUCAUAAUUCAAUAAUCAAAUCAAUCACAUUUAAACCAAGAUUUAAACAUUCAAAUUAUAAAAUCAUCAUUAACCAUUCAUACCAAAACACUGAUCAUUUCAAGUCAUAAACACCUAGCAAUAUUCACAUACUUUAUAAAGCUUAACUACCAAUACCAAAUAAGAUCCAUACACACAUACAUACCAAACAAAACACAUAUUCACAAGUAUCAUUCAAGAUUUACAACUUUACAUGUAAUUAACAUAAUUUCAAGUCAAUUAUUACAUGUCAUACAACCCAAAACAAACACUAAACAAACUACCAAUAGUUUCUCGAAUAGUGUGAUUCUUGAAAUCAAAUUGAUCACCCGAAGCGUCAAAAAUAAAUCUACAAGAAAGCAUUGGAAGAGACACAAGAGUAAGCUUACUUAAGCUUAGUAAUUUCCAUGGAUUUAAACAAUCAACUUACCGGAUAAACUUAUCUAAUAUAGAGUAUAGAAAAGUCAUAAAUCAUAAUCAUGUCAUCCAUAAUCAGAUCACGAGUGAGUCUUAAACUUAAAUAUGAAUGAAUUAAUUCAAUCAAUUACAUUAUAUCACUAAAUUAUACCCGAUGAACGUUGCAAUGGAUUUGGAUACACAGUUAACCAACCAAACACUCCAAAUCACUCAAAUGAGCUAGCCAUCUGAAAGUACACAUGGGCACCAAGUGCCAAGCCCAUAGGCUAACAUCCCUCCGAAACACACCUUGUCACCAAGUGCCAAGCCCGUAAGCUUUACAUCUGCCCCAGAAACACACCUGAAGCACUGCAAUAUAACGUAAUAGUUCGCAACAAAUGUUGAACUUCAAUAUAUUCAAUAAACAUGAAUAAGAUCAGAAUCAUCAUCUCCACAUCCACCAAUCUCGUAAAGCGCACGAUAUAACUUAUUGACAUGCCAAUUGUAUCCUAUCAUACAUUCAUCGGCUCACAUAUUUGUCAUUUAACAACAUUUAAUACAAUUUCUUUCCCAAAUCAUUUCACUUACCACAAUUCAAUACUUCCAUGUCAUUUAAUAAUUUCAAUCCACAAGUAAUUAAAUAUUUAAAUUAUACUAAAAUUAAACUGUACAAACUCACUAGGGCCAAAUUGCAGAAACAACAAAAGUUCAGGGACUAAUCAACAACCUUCCCUUUUUCCACAAUUAUCAACUUGAUCUUGAUCUAUAAUAUAAUUUAUUUCAAUUAUUAGCCUCAAUUUUCAUAUUCUAAUCAUUUCAAAACAUAUGAUCUCUUAUUUAUAAAUUUACACAUUUAUCCCAAAUUUUUACAUAUUAUACAAUUUAAUCCCUAUGACCAAAUCAAGCUUAGUUCUACAAUUAAAUUCUCAAUCCAUAGAACUAAAUUUUAACCACAUCCAAAACAAUCCAUAUAUGCUAAAAUUUUCAAGAGUAACAUGUCUAUUUCAGUUAAAUCACUAAACAUCAAAUUUUGUAAAAAUCACUUACAAACUCAAUACAUAUGGUCACCAAGCUUCAACCCAAACUAUUUACUACUACAAAUCUUCGAAAAUUUCAAUACAUAAUUUCUAUACUUUGAUAACUUCACAAAUAAACUCCAAAACUAGCUAAAUUCCAUUAUCAAUAGCUCAAAACUUAAAAUUUGAUGAUGAAUAAACCAAGAAAAUACUUACAUGCAUUAAAAACUAACAAAAACCAAGAUCCAAGCCUUAGAACAAUGGUGUUUCGGCCAAACCUAAGAAAAAUAAAGAAGAUGACCACUACCCCACUUUUGUUUUACUUUCCUUUUAUUAUUAUAAUAAUCUUUAUUUAUGAAAUUAUAACAUUAUAAAACACCAAUUUAAUUUUUUUUCUCUCUUUACCGCCCAUAUUAACUAACUAUGGGCUAAUGGCAACAUAACCUCCCUUAGUUUACUAAUUUAAGCUAUUAUAUUAAAAUAAAUCUAUAAUAAGCAACUUUUCCACCUAUUACAUAUUAAUCUUUUUUCUUUAAUCAAUUCACUAUACGUUAAAUUUUCUAAACCAAAACUUAAUACGACACUGAUGACUUUGUAAAUAUUAAAUAAUUAAUAAUUCUAGACUGACACGUCGAAAGUGUAGUCCUAAAACUAUUAUUUUCGACACCACUGGAAAUCGAACUGUUAUAGUAUGAUUCUACCUCUUAGGGGGAGACGUAUUCUAGUUUCCUUUGACUUGUUUAGAUGAUGUGUUAAUCAUUUGCUACUGGUUUUGUCAAAAUGCCAAAUGGUGAGAUUGUUUCAAACUUUGUUCAUGUUCGAACAUUAGAUUAAACAAUGCUUAAUUUGAUGCAUUCAAAGAAUUUAUGUUGGCAUGUUUGACUUUAUAAUGAAAUGGCUUAUGAUUUAAUCUCGUUGAGUAGCAAAUGGGGAAGUGAUUUUGUGUUAUAACAUGUGAUGAUCAUUAUCUUUCAAUCAACUACCUUGAAGAAGAAUGGGAGGAGUUUGAACUUUUGUGGACUUUCGUAAUAUUUGAAGCUGCUAAGAUACUUGUUUAUAAAGACUUUUAUGAUAUAACUAAUCAAAAUAAUUCAUGUCAGAAUUUUUGGAGUUUUAAACUUAUGAAGACUCUAGUAUUGGCCUAUAAAUAGGCAUAAUUACCGCACAUUGAAAAUAGGCUUUUGGAGGGUUUAAGUUGGAUGCUUUGGUGAAUUUUUCCUGUGUUUUAUACAACACUCUUUUUUAAGUUUUUAUUGGGGGAUAUUUGCUUGAUUGUAAGUGAGAUAUUUUGGAGAGAGUGAUUUGUAAUAAUUUAGGUUCAAUAUUGAAGUUGCAAAUAACUACAAGGUAAUGGUAAUUUGGACUCUAGUCAAUAGUUAAUCAAGACGAAUUGUAAAUAAAAAUUAUUUUUUAAGUGAAACUUUACAGAAUAAAACUAGUGAACUCAAACUACGCUAACAAAUAUUAUAUACUAUCUUUCCUUACUUUACUCGUUGCUUUACCUUAUUUUAAAAUUGCUUUGUCAUAAAUGUAUUAUGUUUGACCCUUUCCGAUCGAAAUAAAAAAAUGAGAUUGAAAUUGUGAUAAAGCUAAAAAAAAGUUACAACAAAUAUGAUUAAUAUUAUUUUUAUAUAUACUUACUAAAAUUUAAAAAGGAAUUACAUUUAUCGAAUAUUAUUUUAUUUAAUAAAUAUAAUUAAUAUAUUUUAUAUAAAAUUUAAACUUUUUAUUAUUUGUUAGCUAAAUUUUAUUAUUUUUAUUUUCUUUAUGAAUAAAAUUAAUUUUCCUAAAAUUUGAGAUAAAAAAAUGUUAUAUAGAAAAUUAAAUUAGUAAAAAGUGCAGUUCAUACUUUAUAAUUAUUAUAAAUGAAAAAAUAUUAUAAAAGAUAAAUAUUAAACAUAAAAAAAUCAAUUCUAAAAUAAACUUAACUAUUAUAAUAAAAUAUUUUUAUAUAAAAAAGAAAUUAUAGAAAAGACUUACUGAUUAUAUUUCCAAUUUUCGACAUUCAUAAAAAAAAAGUGGUCCUAAUAAUUUAUUUAUACAAAAAAAAAAGUGGUCCUAUUAAUUAACCUCACAUUUGAAAUGUGUUAUAUGUAAUAAUAUUAAUAUCUUUAUCAAUUUUGGAGGUUCAUCCUUUCCCAUCUCUAUAAAUUCGCAUGGAGAAAUAAAGCAAUACAUCAACACAAUCUGUAUAACCAUGAAAACCACAACAGCUUCAGUGUUUCUUCUUUUCAUCAUCUUCUCAGUCACACCAUCAUCCUUUUUGUUUGGUGUAGCCAACGCUACAAACGAACCUGUACUCGACUUUGAUGGCAACGAGGUUCAAACAGGCACCCCAUAUUACGUUGUGUCGUACAUAUGGGGUGCUGGUGGUGGGGGGCUUGACCUAGGCAGGCCUAGUGGAAACCCAUGCCCGGAAGUCGUUGCUCAAAGAGGAUCCGGUGACAAUGGUAUUCCGGUGAUAUUUUCUAAUUCGGACUCCAACGAUGGCGUUGUUCGCCUAUCCUCUGACAUAAACAUAGAGUUCAUUUCCCUCAGACCCAAACUUUGCCGAACAACAACAGUGUGGAAGGUCGAUGAUUACGACCAUUCAGCCGGAAAAUGGUGGGUGAUAACCGAUGGGGUUAAAGGGAACCCAGGUGCCAACACUUUGACCAGUUGGUUUAGAAUAGAGAAGGUGGGUACUGAUUUUCAAUAUUACACAUUUAAGUACUGCCCCGCAGUAUGUGGAACAUGCCCAGCCUUAUGCAACCAAAUUGUGAGAGACUUUGAUGGAGAAAUGGUACGUUUGGCUCUCACCACUGGCCAUGGAUGGCCAUUUAUCUUUAAGAAAGUUGGAAAAUCAGCCAUGGAGAUUGAACAAGUUGUUCAUAAUUAGAUUGAAAGCAAUCAUUAUGCAUGAACUAGUAGUUACUACAUAAUAUUAGCUUCAAGUAAAUAAUGCUGAGGGAACUUAUUGUUAAGAUUGCCUUGUUUGAAGCGGCAGCAUGUAUAUAUAUAUGCUUGCUUACAAGGUUUGUCUCUCAGAGUCCUCCUCUUUGUACUCUUUUCAGCUUAAUGAAUAAACUGUUUACUUAUUUACUUCUUUUGUUGCCAUUGAUUCUAGUAGCAUUCGACUCAUUAACUUGGAUACAUUACCUUGUAAUUAACCAAAAAGUUAUGUGUAUAUAUAUAAAGAGUGUGUGAGAGAAAAAAUAGAAUACCAAGUACCAAGUGAAAAAUGUUAAUACUAGGAUUAUUCAAAGCGAUUUCAAUGAACAGAAAUGGAAUAGUCGUCGGGUGGUUAGGGCAUUUUAUCUUUAGAGAUAAAGAAGGUUGGUUCAUGUUCGGAGUUUGUGGCUACUCCUUCAAUAAUAUCGUUUUUAAAGUUUAAACUUGUAUCACAUUUUAAACACGUAAUGUAUCUUACCAUUACAUCCAACAAUAUUAACCAUUUACUCUAUUGUAUUGUAUUGUAUUCUAUUAUUAAUUAAUGAUUAUGAUAUGUAUUAAGUUUAAGAUGAAUUUUCUCAGUAAUAUAUAUCAAUGGAAUCAAAUAUUUGUAUUUAAAGUUUUAACUCCACAUUAACUUUUUCUUUAUUUUGUCCGUUUGCUGGCGAUGAUUAGGAGAUUAAUGGUUGGUAUUUGUGGUUAGUAGGUUAUAACUCAAUAGUGAACUCGAGGGUUGAUAGUGGCCCGACUCCACUUAAAUAAAAAAUUUUACAUUUAAAUCUCUUUAUAAUUUAUAAAAUUUUAAAUUAAUAAUAAAAAAAUUAUAUUUUAACUCUCUAAAAUUAAUAAAAAUGAUAAAAAUGUAGAAGUAAAUUUAUACAAUUAAUGAUAAUAAUGAUAAGAAGUUGUUUCCUGUCACAUGGAAAUUUAUGGCAUCGUCCAUUUGGUUUUAUAUUUGUCCAUUUGCUUGGUUAAGAGUUGAAAGACAAACUAUAAUUAAGUAUACAAAACCAAACGAAUUUCAAGGGUUUUCUCUUCAAUUAUUGUCGAAUUUAGCUAAUUAUUAGUAAUUUUUAUUAUUUAAUUAUAAAAAUUAUAAAAUAAUGACUUAAUUAUAAGAAUUAUAAAAUAGUGACUUAAUUAUAAAAAUAUAUAUAAAUAGCCAUCUAAUUAUUUAAUUUUUUUUCUUUUUUAUCAUCACCGGAUUAAUGGUGGUAAUUUUUAUAAUUGACAUAAUAGUAACUUUAACCAUUAAUAAUUAUACAUUAUGUCAAUUUAGUCUUGAUUCUAAAAAAUUUAACCUUUGACAUUUACACAUAUAUAAUUUGACAUUUUUAUAAUUUUAUUUUUUACUAAAAAUAAAUCAUGAAAAUAAUAAAAUAUGCAUAAAAAUAAAAAUACAGCUACCGAGUAUAUGUCUUAAUGUAGAUUUAUAACAAUUAUCUUUUCAUAAAGAUAUUUUAUUAUAAAAUAUAUAAUAAGCACUUCCCUGUAACAAAUAAAAUUGUAGUAAACAAAUGAAAUUAUUAUAAAGAAGAAUUUUCUAUUUUCAUAAUAAUAAUAAUAAUAAUAAUAAUAAAAGAAAAGAAAAAAGUGGUUCUAUUAAUUCACCUCACAUUUGAAAUGUGUUAUAUGUAAUAAUAUUAAUGUCUUUAUCAAUUUUGGUGGUUCAUCCUUUCCCAUCUCUAUAAACACUACACCAGAAUAGGUUUUUAGCGGCGUUUUUUAGGCCUUUAGCGACGCUUAUUAACGCCACUAAAUCUAUUUCCGGCACUUACAAAAAAAAGCCGCUAAAGAUCAUGUUCUUUAGCGGCGCUUAGGAAAAAACGCCGCAAAAAAUCAUGUUCUUUAGCGGCGCUUAGAAAAAAACGCCGCUAAAGAUCAUGUUCUUUAACGGCGCUUAGAAAAAAACGCCGCUAAAGAUCAUGUUCUUUAGCGGCGCUUUGGAAGAAAACACCUCUAAAAGUAAUGUUCUAUAGCGGCGCUUGUUCAAAAACGCCGCUAAAAGUAGUGUUCUUUAGCGUCGCUUGUUUCACAAACGCCACUGUUUUGAUAUGACUUUUAGCGGCGCUUUUUUAAAAAAUGUCACUAAUUUUGGGAUUUUUUUAAAAUAAAAUUUUCUGUUUUUUUCAGCCCUCCUGCAACAACAAAUCAAAAGCAACCAGAUCUAAACUAACCAAAAAUAAUAAAUUUAUAUAAUAUUUCAAAUUAAAUGAAUAAAAUAAUAUUAAUUGAUAUAAAUAAAAGUGAAUUUCAGACUUUUCUUUACAAAAACGUUAAAAGUAUUUAUGCAACAUACACUAUGACGGCGGAAGUUGCGACUGCUGAAACAUCUUCAUCAUAAUCUAAAGCUGCUGUUGAAGUUCGUCGUACUUUUUGCUCUACUUUGCUUCUCUCGAUGCCGCAUCUUUUUGAAGCCGUAGCUGUAGUUCUUCACAUUUCUUUUGAACCUCUGCUUCUAUCGCUGCUUAUCUCGCUACGGCAUCUGCUUCCCUCACUGCUGCCUCUGAUUUAAGUUGUUGCUGAAGUUCUUCAUAUUUCCUUUGAACCUCAAAUGUGGUCGCUUGCAUCUGAGUCAUCUAGUCUUUUAACCUCUGAACUUCAGCUUGAGACUGACUCCCCGAAGCCAUGUAUUGGUGCGAGCUGGAUCCAAAAUAUUGGGUUGGGCUGAUAAAAGAUCCUUGAAAUCGAACCCGACCAUACUUUUCAGGACCCAAAACUUUAGUAAUAAUCCGGUUAUCAAUGUCUUCAAGAUGAAUAGAACUAUCACUAGAAGCAAUCGUUUCGUACUCUGUCUUUUUUUCCUUCAGUUUUUCCUAAUAAAUAAAUCACAUAGUUAGGAACGCAAUAUAUAGUAAAAAAAACAAAUGCAAUAUAACAAUAGUCGCAUUACAAGCAAUGAAUUAAACCAUUAGAAAAUAAACACUAUAAAUAACUAAAACAAGUGAAAUCGUAUUAAGUAAACGUACCAUAAUUUCACCAGCUUCAGGAGUCAUAGCAGAUCCAUCUUUCUUCUUAUGUGUAAUUUCAAAAAGUUGAAGGCGUCCAACUUUUUGAUCGGACGACCGUUCCUACAACACUCUUUUUUAAGUUUUUAUUGGGGGAUAUUUGCUUGAUGUAAGUGAGAUAUUUUGGAGAGAGUGAUUUGUAAUAAUUUAGGUUCAAUAUUGAAGUUGCAAAUAACUAUAAGGUAAUGGUAAUUUAGACUUUAGUCAAUAGUUAAUCAAGACGAAUUGUAAAUAAAAAUUAUUUUUUAAGCGAAACUCUACAGAAUAAAACUAGUGAACUCAAACUACUGAACUCAAACUACGCUAACAAAUAUUACAUAUUAUCUUUCCUUACUUUACUUGUUGCUUUACCUUAUUUUAAAAUUGUUUUGUCAUAAAUGUAUUAUGUUUGAACCUUUCCGAUCGAAAUAAAAAAAAUGAGAUUGAAAUUGUGAUAAAGCUAAAAAAAGGUUACAACAAAUAUGAUUAAUAUUAUUUUUAUAUAUACUUAAUAAAAGUUAAAAAGGGAAUUACAUUUAUUGAAUAUUAUUUUAUUUAAUAAAAUAUAAUUACUAUAUUUUAUAUAAAAUUUAAAUAUUUUAUUGUUUGUUAGUUAAAUUUUAUUUUUUUUUAUUUUCUUUAUGAAUAAAAUUAAUUUUCCUAAAAUUUGAGAUAAAAAAUGUUAUAUAGAAAAUUAAAUUAGUAAAAAGUUAAAAAAAUCAAUUCUAAAAUAAACUUAACUAUUAUAAUAAAAUAUUUUUAUAUAAAAAAAAAGAAAUUAUAGAAAAGACUUAUUGAAUAUAUUUCCUAUUUUCGACAUUCAUAAAAAAAAAAAAGUGGUCCUAAUAAUUUUUUUAUACAAAACAAAAAAAAGUGGUCCUAUUAAUUUACCUCACAUUUGAAAUGUGUUAUAUGUAAUAAUAUUAAUAUCUUUAUCAAUUUUGGAGGUUCAUCCUUUCCCAUCUCUAUAAAUUUGCAUGCAGAACUAAAGCAACACAUAUCAACACAAUCUGUAUAACCAUGAAAACCACAACAGCUUCGGUGUUUCUUCUUUUCAUCAUCUUCUCAAUCACACCAUUGUCCUUUUCGUUUGGUGUGGCCAACACUUCAAACGCUCCUGUGCUCGACAGUGAUGGCAACGAGCUCCGCACAGGCACCCCAUACUUCGUUGUGUCGUCGAUAUGGGGUGCUGGUGGUGGGGGGCUUGCCCUAGGCAUGCCUAGAGGAAAGCCAUGCCCGGAAGUCGUUGCUCAAAGAGGAUCUGGUGACGAUGGUAUUCCGGUGAUAUUUUCUAAUUCGGACUCCAACGAUGGCGUUGUUCGCCUAUCCUCUGACAUAAACAUAGAGUUCAUUCCCCUCAGACCCAGAUUUUGCCAAACAACAACGGUGUGGAAGGUCGAUGAUUACGACCACUCAGCCGGAAAAUGGUGGGUGAUAACCGAUGGGGUUAAAGGGAACCCAGGUGCCAACACUUUGACCAGUUGGUUUAGAAUAGAGAAGGCGAGUCAUCUUGAUUACACAUUUAAGUACUGCCCCGCAGUAUGUGGAACAUGCCCGGCUUUAUGCAACAAAAUUGCGAGAGACUUAGAUGGAGAAAUGAUGCGUUUGGCUCUCUCCACUGACCAUGGAUGGCCAUUUUUCUUUAAGAAACUUCAAACAUCAGCCAUGGAGAUUGAACAAGUUGUUCAUAAUUAGAUUGAAAGCAAUCAUUAUGCAUGAACUAGUAGUUACUAUACAAUAUUAGCUUCAAGUAAAUAAUGCUGAGAGAACUGAUUGUUAAGAUUGCCUUGUUUGAAGCAGAAGCAUGCAUAUAUAUAUGCUUGCCUACAAGGUUUGUCUCUCAGAAUCCUCUUUGUACUCUUUUCAGCUUAAUAUAUAAACUGUCUACUUAUUUACUUCUUUUAUUAAUGUCAUUGAUUCUAGUAGUAUUAGACUCAUUAACUUGGAUACAUUGUCUUGUAAUUAACCCAAAAAUUAUAUAUAUAUCAAAAAAAAAAAUGAGAGUGAGAGAGGAAAAUAGACUACCAAGUAACAAGUGAAAAAUGGUAAUACUAGGGUUAUUUAGAGUGGUUUCAAUGCACAACCGGAAUGAAUUGUUACCUUAUCUUUAGAGUCAAAGAAGGGUUCGUGACUAGUCUUUCAACAAUACUAUUUUCAAGGUUCAAACCUGCAUUAUCCUUUAAAUACGUAAUGUAUUUUAUCAUUACGCUCAAUAUUAUUAGUGAUUUACUUUAUUCUAUUCUUAAUUAAUAAUUAUGAUAUAUAUAAAGUUUAAGAUGGAUUUUCUUAUUUAUGUAUAUCAAUUAAAUCAAAUAUUUGUAUUUAAAGUUUUAACCCAACAUUAACUUUUUUUUUAAAAAUUUCUUCGUUUGUUGGUGGUGAUUAGGAGAUUGAUGGCCGGUCUUUGUGAUUGGUAGCUUUUAACACAAUGGCGAAGCUAAGGAGGCUUUAAAUGUUUAAAUGAAUAUUUUUUUCAAUUGAAAUUUCUUUAUAAUUUAUAAAAUUUUAAAUUAAUAAUGAUAAAAUUACAUUUUAAUUUUUUAAAAAUGAUAAAAACGUGGAAGCACAUUUGUACGAUUAAUAAUAAUGAUAAUAUUUUUCCUACCACAUGGAAGUUUAUGGAAACACCAUUGGGUUUUGUAUUUAUGUUUUAUUCGACACUCUUAUAAGUUUUACUGGGGAGAUUUGUUUGAUUGUAAGUGAGGUAUUUUGCGGAGAGUGAUUUAUAAUAAUUUAAAAUUAAUAUUGGGGUUACAAAUAACUAUGGGAGUAAAGUAGUUUAGACUUUAGCUAAUAAUUGAUCAAGAUGGAUUGUAGAAUAAAAUCAUUUUCGAAGCAAAAUUUUAUAAAAUUAGUAAAUCUGAAUUAUUCUAUAAUAUUGAUAUUAUCUUUCUUCACUUUAGCCCUUGCUUCACCUUAUCUCAAAAUUAUUCUAUAAUAAUCUAUUUUGUCUCAACCUUUUCAACAGAAUUUAAAAUGAAACUAUUUCUAUGAAGUGCAAACCAAAAACUUUUUCACAUACCAAUAAAUGGCAAGCAACCAUACCGUGGGCCCAAUGUCCCAACAAUCAUCUAAACAUUUUUUUUUUCUUUUUUAAAUAAUAUGUAAUAAUUUAUAUACCAUAAAUGAAUAUUAAUUAAAAUAAUAUAAACAAAAUACGACUCUUUAAUAUAAUAUGGAUCCAAAAUGUUUCAUAUUUGAAAUGCAGUUUUUGAUAAUUUCACAUUUCAUAUUUUAUCUUAGAACAAAAAGAAAAUUUGAACUUAAUAUUUGGACUAUUGAUCAAUGGUGUUUAUUAUAUUUCAAGACUAUCAGAUUAAUCUGUCGAUACUACUUAUAUGGUAUGGUUUAAAUGGGUGUGUGUGGAUAUAGAAAUUUGAAAUUCUAUUGUAUCAAAGAAAUUUUUUUUAAAAAUAAAAUAAAAAGGAAUUUGAAAUUUAAAAUUUGAGAUCAAAAUAAAAAAAAUGAGACUUGUUAUAAACCAUAAGGCUCAAAAAAGGUUACAACAAAUAUGGUUAAUAUUAUUUUUAUAUAUACUUAAUAAAAGUUUAAAAUAUCAAAUUUGUAAUAUUAUUUUUAUUUAAUAAAAUAUAAUUAAUAUAUUUUAUAUAAAAUUUAAAUAUUUUAUUGAAAUAUUAUGUUAGGUAAAUUUUAUUAAUUUUAUUUUCUUUAUAAAUAAAAUUAAUUUUAUUAAAAUUUGAGAUAAGAUAAUUAAAUUAAUAAAAGGUAUACUUCAUAUUUUAUAGUUAUUAUAAAUAAAAAAUUAUUAUAAAAAUUAAAAAAAAAGAAUUCUACAACAUAAUGAAAUAUUUUUAUUAAAAAAAACAGAAAUGAUUGAUGGAAUAUAUUUCCAAUUUUCGACGUUCAUUAAAAAAAAAAGAGUGGUCCUAAUAAUUGAUUUAUUGGGGAAAAAAAAGUGGUCCUACUAAUUUACCUCACAUUUGAAAUGUGUUAUAUGUAAUAAUAUUAAUAUCUUUAUCAAUUUUGGAGGUUCAUCCUUUCCCAUCUCUAUAAAUUCGCAUCGAGAAAUAAAGCAAUACAUCAACGCAAUCUGUAUAACCAUGAAAACCACAACAGCUUCAGUGUUUCUUCUUUUCAUCAUCUUCUCAGUCACACCAUCAUCUUUUUUGUUUGGUGUAGCCAACGCUACAAACGAACCUGUACUCGACAUUGAUGGCAACGAGGUUCAAACAGGCACCCCAUAUUACGUUGUGUCGUCCAUAUGGGGUGCUGGUGGUGGGGGGCUUGCCCUAGGCAGGCCUAGCGGAAACCCAUGCCCGGAAGUCGUUGCUCAAAGACGAUCCGGUGACGAUGGUAUUCCGGUGAUAUUUUCUAAUUCGGACUCCAACGAUGGCGUUGUUCGCCUAUCCUCUGACAUAAACAUAGAGUUCAUUCCCCUCAGACCCAAACUUUGCCGAACAACAACGGUGUGGAAGGUCGAUGAUUACGACCAUUCAGCCGGAAAAUGGUGGGUGAUAACGGAUGGGGUUAAAGG
rnacentral:lncRNA from 1 species